AAAUUGAAGAGUUUGAUCAUGGCUCAGAUUGAACGCUGGCGGCAGGCCUAACACAUGCAAGUCGAGCGGUAGCACAGAGAGCUUGCUCUCGGGUGACGAGCGGCGGACGGGUGAGUAAUGUCUGGGAAACUGCCUGAUGGAGGGGGAUAACUACUGGAAACGGUAGCUAAUACCGCAUAAUGUCGCAAGACCAAAGUGGGGGACCUUCGGGCCUCAUGCCAUCAGAUGUGCCCAGAUGGGAUUAGCUAGUAGGUGGGGUAACGGCUCACCUAGGCGACGAUCCCUAGCUGGUCUGAGAGGAUGACCAGCCACACUGGAACUGAGACACGGUCCAGACUCCUACGGGAGGCAGCAGUGGGGAAUAUUGCACAAUGGGCGCAAGCCUGAUGCAGCCAUGCCGCGUGUGUGAAGAAGGCCUUCGGGUUGUAAAGCACUUUCAGCGGGGAGGAAGGCGUUAAGGUUAAUAACCUUGUCGAUUGACGUUACCCGCAGAAGAAGCACCGGCUA
rnacentral:rRNA from 1 species